AUGAACGCCGGAGCAGCGGCGAAGGGUAAGGGAGCUGCGGACGCGGAGCAGCGGCAGAGGGUUAAGGAGCUGCGGACGGCGGAGCAGCGGCGGACCUUGGGCUCUCGAUUGGAGCGGAGGGUGGCGCCGGCGAGGGACCUGCGGCCGGCGGGGAAGGAUGUCGAAGUUGCGGCGGAGGGUGAGGGAGCUGCGGACGGCGGAGCAGCGCAACAACGGCAGACCUCGGUGACGGAGCUCUCAAUUGGAGUGGAGGCAGGCAGCCGGCGGGGAAGGACAACGGCGCUGCGGCGGAGGGAGACAGAGCUGCGGAUGGCGGAGCAGCGCAGCAACAGCCGAAAUCAGGCUCUUGAUUGGGGCGGAGGCCAACAACCGCGCGCAGUGGAUCUCGGUAUAUACAGAUGGCGACCUGUAGUAUUGCUUGACAGUGUUGUUUUCUCCCCUCUGCGAGAAUACUUGACAGCGGCUGUUUCCGAAGAGCUCACCAAUCAGUUGAUUAGUAGCUUUCGGAAGGCGGCGGACAGUAUGAUGGCGAGCAAGGCGGCGCGUGCGUGCCACGGCGGACUACGUGUUUCUGUGCCAGGGGAGAGACGCCUCGGUGCACUCCGUGAACCCCCUUGCAUGCAGCCAUUAGCGGGUGAGUCUGCCGCCCACAUCGUCGCUGCUCCCUUGGGUUGCCGGAGUGGCUCUGCGCGGGAGAGCCACCGCGGCGACGAGGCACACGUUCAGCGGUUCAGCCUCGUCGGCAUCUGCCUGACGACCGAGCUCAUGGAGUUUGCCGGCGAGAUGGAGGCCCUUCUUGGCCGGCUAGACAUUGGCAACGGCAACGAGCACGAACAGUUUUGCAUGGAAGCAUUGUGCCUUAUCGAGAGGAUGGACGUAGAAGCCGGGCAAGCGUGCGGCCUCCAGCCGGUGCCCGAGGUGUCCAGCGAUAUGAUUGACAUCGACUUCGACUGCGGCUCACCUUAG
rnacentral:rRNA from 1 species